AACGAACGCUGGCGGCAUGCCUAACACAUGCGAGUCGAACGAGACCUUCGGGUCUAGUGGCGCACGGGUGCGUAACGCGUGGGAACCUGCCCUUAGGUUCGGAAUAACUCCCCGAAAGGGGUGCUAAUACCGGAUAAUGUCUUCGGACCAAAGAUUUAUCGCCUUUGGAUGGGCCCGCGUUGGAUUAGCUAGUUGGUAGGGUAAAAGCCUACCAAGGCGACGAUCCAUAGCUGGUCUGAGGGGAUGAUCAGCCACACUGGGACUGAGACACGGCCCAGACUCCUACGGGAGGCAGCAGUGGGGAAUAUUGGACAAUGGGCGAAAGCCUGAUCCAGCAAUGCCGCGUGAGUGAUGAAGGCCUUAGGGUUGUAAAGCUCUUUUACCCGGGAUGAUAAUGACAGUACCGGGAGAAUAAGCUCCGGCUAACUCCGUG
rnacentral:rRNA from 1 species